rnacentral:rRNA from 1 species
GCAUAUCAAUAAGCGGAGGAAAAGAAACUAACAAGGAUUCCCCUAGUAACUGCGAGUGAAGCGGGAAAAGCUCAAAUUUAAAAUCUGGCGGUCUUUGGCCGUCCGAGUUGUAAUCUAGAGAAGUGUUAUCCGCGCUGGACCGUGUACAAGUCUCCUGGAAUGGAGCGUCAUAGAGGGUGAGAAUCCCGUCUUUGACACGGACUGCCAGGGCUUUGUGAUGCGCUCUCAAAGAGUCGAGUUGUUUGGGAAUGCAGCUCAAAAUGGGUGGUAAAUUCCAUCUAAAGCUAAAUAUUGGCGAGAGACCGAUAGCGAACAAGUACCGUGAGGGAAAGAUGAAAAGAACUUUGGAAAGAGAGUUAAACAGUACGUGAAAUUGCUGAAAGGGAAACGCUUGAAGUCAGUCGCAUUGUGUGGGAAUCAACCUUGCUUUUGCUGGGCGUACUUUCCAUAUGAUGGGUCAGCAUCAAUUUUGACCGUUGGAUAAAGUUCAAGGGAAUGUGGCAUCUUCGGAUGUGUUAUAGCCUUUGGUCGCAUACAACGAUUGGGAUUGAGGAACUCAGCACGCCGAAAGGCCGGGUCUUGUACCACGUUCGUGCUUAGGAUGCUGGCAUAAUGGCUUUAAUCGACCCGUCUUGAAACACGGACCAAGGAGUCUAACAUGCCUGCGAGUAUUUGGGUGGAAAACCCGAGUGCGUAAUGAAAGUGAAAGUUGAGAUCCUUGUCAUGGGGAGCAUCGACGCCCGGACCAGACCUUUUGUGACGGAUCUGCGGUAGAGCAUGUAUGUUGGGACCCGAAAGAUGGUGAACUAUGCCUGAAUAGGGUGAAGCCAGAGGAAACUCUGGUGGAGGCUCGUAGCGAUUCUGACGUGCAAAUCGAUCGUCAAAUUUGGGUAUAGGGGCGAAAGACUAAUCGAACCAUCUAGUAGCUGGGUUCCUGCGA